AUUGAACGCUGGCGGCAGGCCUAACACAUGCAAGUCGAACGAGUGGCGGACGGGUGAGUAAUGUCUGGGAAACUGCCUGAUGGAGGGGGAUAACUACUGGAAACGGUAGCUAAUACCGCAUACCAUCGGAUGUGCCCAGGUGGGAUGAGCUAGGAGGUGGGGUAAAGGCUCACCUAGGCGACGAUCCCUCGCUGGUCUGAGAGGAUGACUAGCCACACUGGAACUGAGCGACGGUCCAGACUCCUACGGGAGGCAGCAGGGGGGACUAUUGCACAAUGGGUGCAAGCCGGAUGAAGCCACGCCGCGUGUAUGAAGAAGGCCUCCGGGUUGUAAAGUACUUUCAGCGGUGAGGCGUUACCCGCAGAAGAAGAACCGGCGAACUCCGUGCCAGCAGCCGCGGUAAUUC
rnacentral:rRNA from 1 species